GAAAACAAUGCAAAUAUUUUUUCCACCAUUAAUUAGGAAAACACGAUCAUAUUGCCCUUUUGCUGCCAAUAACUGUAGUUCUCGACCAUAACAAUGCAGGCUUUGACUUAGUAAACAUCAUCAUAUCUCCUUGUUCACAGGGGGGCAGCUGAAUGCCCAUACUGUACACAGCCCGUGACUCAAACAAUAUACGUGUAAUCCAAAUGAAACAUAAAAAAGCCCUAGAAAUAGUGCUACCCACUAUGAUUAAUGUCAUUGUUGUCUAGCUAAAAUUUUUGACCCCACAUGCAUCGUUUCCUAACCUGACUCAAAUCUAACACAUGCCAGACUUUCGUGGUUUCUCAUGUUUUGUUAUUUUUGUUUUUUCAUAUAUUUAAAUGCCUCACAUGGCCAUGCACUGGAACCAGAUUCUUAGCUAUGGGCUGGCAUGAUGCAUCUGUCAACAAAAUCUCCAGUUUUCCACGCUGUUGAAUCGACAGGUAUAGCAGACAAACACAAUUUUUAUGUUGAACUAUUUUUUUUAUAGAAAUUUAUGUUCACCUGAUAAUCAUCAGAAUAUCCUGAAAUCAAACUACUCACG
rnacentral:lncRNA from 7 species